rnacentral:rRNA from 1 species
GUCGUAACAAGGUCUCCGUAGGUGAACCUGCGGAGGNAUCAUUACACAAAUAUGAAGGCGGGCUGGAACCUCUCGGGGUUACAGCCUUGCUGAAUUAUUCACCCUUGUCUUUUGCGUACUUCUUGUUUCCUUGGUGGGUUCGCCCACCACUAGGACAAACAUAAACCUUUUGUAAUUGCAAUCAGCGUCAGUAACAAAUUAAUAAUUACAACUUUCAACAACGGAUCUCUUGGUUCUGGCAUCGAUGAAGAACGCAGCGAAAUGCGAUAAGUAGUGUGAAUUGCAGAAUUCAGUGAAUCAUCGAAUCUUUGAACGCACAUUGCGCCCUUUGGUAUUCCAAAGGGCAUGCCUGUUCGAGCGUCAUUUGUACCCUCAAGCUUUGCUUGGUGUUGGGCGUCUUGUCUCUAGCUUUGCUGGAGACUCGCCUUAAAGUAAUUGGCAGCCGGCCUACUGGUUUCGGAGCGCAGCACAAGUCGCACUCGCUAUCAGCAAAGGUCUAGCAUCCAUUAAGCCUUUUUUUCAACUUUUGACCUCGGAUCAGGUAGGGAUACCCGCUGAACUUAAGCAUAUCA